UCAGCUAAAGCAACGGCAACUCCAGGAAAAUCGUGUGUUUGCUGCUGCUAAUAAAAUGCAGAUCCAAUUAGUGUCCGUCAGCUGUGCGGAAAUACGAGUAUCUCCAGUGGAGUCCAUACUCGAUGGUAGGCUUGAUGGAUAUUGCAAGUGUGCUUGGACUGGUUUCUUGCGGGAAGCACCCUCAAAUCGAUCCUUGAUUUGGCAGAGCAUUGGUUGAGGAAACACCUGGAAAGAAAAGGUUUGUUCAAAUUAAAUCACCGGAAUUUUGUGGACUUGCUUAGACUGUGGCGAAGGCCAUUCUUUUACUAGCGUAGGGCAGAUUGUGUGGGAGAAAGGAUGCUUGUUGCAAGAAUGGGCAUCUUGUUCUCGUGCCCGGCCGACUACUAUGACCCAAUGGAAGAAGGCAUCCUCGAACCGUCGGCGAGCUCUGGCGGCCUUAGGGCCUUGGAUUCCAGCAAGCUGCUCAUAUAGGGGUCGCUCAGUUUCAAAAGGGCACAACUCGACGACAACUACCCCAGCUCUCUCCAGGUGGAGACCGAGAUCUCAAUCAAGACCGCCGACAUUGCCGCCAUUGCACCAGACUCUUCCCCUGCCACGGUGGUGCCUCUCGUGCAGAGAGCUCUUGCCAUGGUGAUGUACACCGACGGCGGCCUCGGGCGCGGAGAGCCCAAAGCACGAGGCGGCGGCGAUGUGAGGCAACGAGAGCGUCAUGAGGCAGGCUCUCAAGAUGAAGAACGGGAGGAGGAGCGCCGGCUCAGGAAAGCUGCAUAUAUUUUUCAUGGAUGCCUUUACAUAUUCUAUGUUAGCCUUAUUGUGGAGGAAUAGGUCGCGUCAAUGUGGAGACUAGGCGAACUCAAGUGGUCAUCGACUUGCCUCUACGCUAGCCAACACCCUAUCAAAUUGAGAAAUUUGAGUUGUGUUUUGUCUGAAUUUUCGACUGAAUCUCGGGAUCUUUGUGAGAACGAAAGCACCAGUCUCAAAAACUGCCAAAGACCACUUGUUGUUGGUGGUCGUGUUCACAGAGCAAUUAUUAUGGUUCUUGGAAGUUGAACAAGACAACGGAAAUAGAAAUGAGGUUCCAAGUCAUUAGCCAGAGUACCUCAUAUGCUUGCUCUGUAUGCGAUCAGCUAUGUGUCUAUGUGCUCUGUUCUCCCAUCUGUUUUGUGCCAUCUUUUUUCCUUUCUGUUUCCGUAUGUGUAUGUUGUCCUAUCUAUUUUGUGCACUAUAGUUUAAUUAGCAAAUUUCUGUCAAAUCUGAGAGCUUUAACUGUUUUAUAAGAACAACCUGAUCCGAUCUCAUCCUGGACUGUGUUAUGGAUAUUAGCUAAAUUCUAUAGAGUGUACAUAGGAAUUCCACAACUUGCCUUUUUCAAUAUACUCAGUGUUUCCAUCCAUCCAUGUUGGAAUAUAUGCUAUACUUAAUGUUUC